rnacentral:lncRNA from 1 species
AUGCCCAGCCCCGUGCCCUGCGCCCCAUGCCCCCUGUGGCGCCCAGGCCUGCAUUGGAGACAUCACGCUCAGCAAGUCCCACCCACCGAGGAAACUAGGCCCCGGUCGUGCCGCCGGAUGAUGCUUCCGGGCGAUGCUCCAGACGCAGCGCUUCCCGGGAACGGCCCCUGGCCCCACGCAGGCCCCACGCAGGCCCCAUGCACCCGCCUCGGGGGCUCCUCAGCCCAGGGGAUGAGUCAGAGCCCGCGGCGGCAGACAUGCGAGGCGAUGCUCCGCGGGCGGCCUCCGGGGCUCGGGCGGGACCGCGGCCGCCUCUGCGCCUGCUUGGAGGGCGGGCGACAGCCGCCAGCCGGGGACGGGACCGGCCGCGAAGCAGGCGCCGUAACCAUGGGGACGGGGGAGGCGCCGGGCGGUGGCCGCUCCCGCUCCCCGCUCCCCGCUCCCCGCUCCCCGCUCCCGAGCCCGCAGUGGUUCUUCCCGCGCCGCCCGCCACACUGCGGAGCCGAUUUAAAGGGACAACCGGCCGCUGUCGCCUUGGCUCCCUACAGAACCAGAUGACUCCGUUAGACAUCCCCUGAAGGGAGGCGGGGGGACUGGGUGGUUUUAUUUUAUUUUAUUUUUUGCAGGAAAUCCGUGUCUGUUGAGGCUCAGGAACGGACACGUGAGCAAGAAAAUUGAUUUCAGAGGAAUUCUCACGGGCCUUGUGUUAGAGUAGCCUCCAGCUCACACUGUCCGCAGGAGGUGAGCCCACCUUGGGUCUGUCCCCCCGAGGGCCGGCGACCCCCUGCCCCAGCCCGGGGUCCCGGCCCCCAGCCCCGCGACAGGCCGGGUGCCGGGAGGGCGACGGGGCUGAGGGCAGGCGUGAGCCCCGGGGACGGGAACCCGGGCAGGCGAGGGGGUCCCGGGGUUCCAGCCCCGAGCCCCAGGCAGCUGCGGUGGGGGCCCUGGGGAGACCCCCGCUGUCCCCUCUGGGCGGGAAGGUCGUGACACUGGGCCUGCUUGGAGAGUCACUGGGUUCAGGACGCCUGGGCCCCGACGCCGGGGGGACAUCCUUCAGGGUGAAGCCUUCAGGGGGCCCUGCCUGAGGGGCUGCGUCCUUGGCUCCUGGGGGUCGGGUCGCUGUGAGGAGCCCGGGCUCCCGACCAGGGACGUGAGACCCGAGGGCUGCACGGAUUUUCCGGUCGCCCAGAGAGCGAGUGUCAGCGUGGGCCCCCCUCAGGCCCCGACCCACCCUGCUGCCCCGGGGUUGCACCCCCAGAGCUCAAGGGGUCGAGGGCCCGGGUUGGUGCUUCUGUGUGAGUGGGGGCAAGAGGAGGGCGGGAAGACCCACAGCCCCUGACAACCCCCAGUCCCUGAGCACCCCCAGCUCCUGACCGCCUCCAGCCCUAGACCACCGGCCCUUGACCACCUGCAGCCCCUGAUGACCCCCCG